rnacentral:rRNA from 1 species
CACGUAGGGUGCGAGCGUUGUCCGGAAUUAUUGGGCGUAAAGAGCUCGUAGGCGGUGUGUCGCGUCGGCCGUGAAAACCUGCAGCUUAACUGUGGGCUUGCGGUCGAUACGGGCAUCACUGGAGUUCGGCAGGGGAGACUGGAAUUCCUGGUGUAGCGGUGAAAUGCGCAGAUAUCAGGAAGAACACCGGUGGCGAAGGCGGGUCUCUGGGCAACUACUGACGCUGAGGAGCGAAAGCGUGGGGAGCGAACAGG